UACGGAGGGUGCAAGCGUUAUCCGGAUUCACUGGGUUUAAAGGGUGCGUAGGUGGGCAGGUAAGUCAGUGGUGAAAUCUCCGGGCUUAACCCGGAAACUGCCGUUGAUACUAUCUGUCUUGAAUAUAGUGGAGGUGAGCGGAAUAUGUCAUGUAGCGGUGAAAUGCUUAGAUAUGACAUAGAACACCAAUUGCGAAGGCAGCUCGCUACACAUAUAUUGACUCUGAGGCACGAAAGCGUGGGGAUCAAACAGG
rnacentral:rRNA from 1 species